rnacentral:rRNA from 1 species
AACGAACGCUGGCGGCAUGCUUAACACAUGCAAGUCGAACGGGAAGGCCCUGCUUGCAGGCUACUCGAGUGGCGAACGGGGGAGUAACACGUUGGGGAUCUGCACUACACUUCGGGAUAGGCCUGAAAAACGGGGAAUAAUACCGGAUAAGAGCCUUAUUUCGUGUGGUGGUUGGCGAGUUGUUUCGGUGUAGGGUGAGGUCGCGGCCUAUCAGCUUGUUGGUGGGGUAAGGGCCUACCAAGGCGGCGACGGGUAGCCGGCCCUGGAGGGUGGACGGGCACAGUGGGACUGGGACACGGCCCAGACCCCUACGGGAGGCAGAAGCGGCGAAUAUUGCACAAGGAGCGCAAGCCUGAUGCAGCGACGCCGCGUGGGGGAUGACGGUCUUCGGGUUGUAAUCGCAUUUCGCUAUUGACGAAGAUUUUUGUGACGGUACCGAGAUAAUAAGCACCGGCUAACUACGUG